AGGUGUCUGGCAGUCAGGCAUCUCACUGCACAAUCUGGACGAUAGGGUUAGUCUGUCCAUUUCUGAUGUGGAGCUGGUGUUAGCAGCCUCCUGGAGACUUGGCAGCGUGUCAGAGCUGCCAGCCCACUUGCACAUGUACACGAGUACAGGAUGGGGCCCUGAAACUGUGGUGGAUCUGGCUGGGUCCUGCUUAAUCUGAAUUUACAGCUGUUGGCAGACUCAGGUGACACAUCCUCUCCUUAGUGUUUUACCUGUUGGCAUUAAAAAAUUACAAGGAGUGUGAUCUACCAUACAUUUUGCUGAAAGUGGUGAGAUGAUUCACUCUUUCCAUAUUAGGAUAUAAUUUUCUUCAUUUCAGAAACACUCAUAGUCUUCAAGCUAUUUAACCAUAAAUCUGGUUUAAUUUUUCUGUGAGCUUUUAUGUUUGUUAUCAGUCUCAAGGUCUUGCAGAAUGGUGAUUUUCCUGAACUAAAGCUCCAUGGAAAGUGAAAUUUUGUUAAUGAAGCAAAAGUGAAAUAAUGAUUUUUACCAUUCCAGGUGCAUGGCUACUCUGACUUCCUUUUCCUUUCAGGUUCCAAGUGCAAGAAAUGUACCAACAGCUGGUACUGAGAGAGGCAGAUUUUGCUAGCUUGGAUGAUACAGGCAUUUUUGCCAGGAAGAGAGAGGCUGAGAUGCCUUCACCAGCCUUCUGCUGUUGCUGUGUAGGUCCUUCGCUGAGCUCCAGACCUCUGGUUAGAGAUGAAAGGAAGGCUGAACUGCAUUGCAGCUUCUGUGUUUCAGGAAUGCGACUCCUGUCCUUGAACUCAUCUGCAGAUAAAUACAACAUGCCCCUUACUGCUGAGUGGUUUGGGAAGAAUUUCAGCCAGACAAGAGAGGGGAGAUAGAGGAAAGACAGGCUAUGACAGUAACUGGGCUAUCUAAUUCUGCAACGUGGAAAUCGCCUUUUCUCAGCUGCCAGUCUCAAAGUCAAGCUUUCAUUGUGCAAAUAAA